rnacentral:misc_RNA from 1 species
AAAGCCAAUGAAAGAUGUAUGUAGAUGAAUGUAAAAUACCAUGUAGACAAACAAGAUAAAACUUGGUUAUAAACAUUGGUGUU